UACAGAGGGUGCAAGCGUUAAUCGGAGUGACUGGGCGUAAAGGGCGUGUAGGUGGAAAGAUAAGUUAUGUGUGAAAUAUCCGGGCUUAACCUGGAGGAGUCAUGUAAUACUGUUUUUCUCGAGUAGAGCAGAGGGAAGUAGAAUUUCCGGUGUAGCGGUGAAAUGCGUAGAGAUCGGAAGGAAUACCAGUGGCGAAGGCGGCUUCCUGGGCUCAUACUGACACUGAGGCGCGAAAGCGUGGGUAGCGAACAGGAUUAGAUACCCCUGUAGU
rnacentral:rRNA from 1 species